UGCAGAUGAUGUUACGAAUAUUUGCUAACUUAACAACAAUGUAGACAAUCUUUCACCAAGAUCGCUGAUGCA